rnacentral:rRNA from 1 species
UUGGAGGGCAAGUCUGGUGCCAGCAGCCGCGGUAAUUCCAGCUCCAAUAGCGUAUAUUAAAGUUGUUGCAGUUAAAAAGCUCGUAGUUGAAUUUCAGGAUCAAUUUAUCGGUCGUGCCUACGGUAUGAACUGGUACAAUUGGUUUCUCCCUUCUGACGAAGCAUGAUGUCAUUAAUUUGGUGUCGUGGGGAAUCAGGACUGUUACUUUGAAAAAAUUAGAGUGUUUAAAGCAAGCAUUAGCUUGAAUACAUUAGCAUGGAAUAAUGAAAUAGGACGUUUGAUCCUAUUUCGUUGGUUUCUAGGAUCGACGUAAUGAUUAAUAGGGAUAGUUGGGGGCAUUAGUAUUCAAUUGUCAGAGGUGAAAUUCUUGGAUUUAUUGAAGACUAACUACUGCGAAAGCAUUUGCCAAGGAUGUUUUCAUUAAUCAAGAACGAAAGUUAGGGGAUCGAAGACGAUCAGAUACCGUCGUAGUCUUAACCAUAAACUAUGCCGACUAGGGAUCGGAUGAUGUUAAUUUUUUAAUGACUCAUUCGGCGCCUUACGGGAAAC